GACGUAGGGCGCGAGCGUUGUCCGGAUUUAUUGGGCGUAAAGAGCUCGUAGGCGGCUUGUCACGUCGGGUGUGAAAGCCCGGGGCUUAACCCCGGGUCUGCAUUCGAUACGGGCAGGCUAGAGUGUGGUAGGGGAGAUCGGAAUUCCUGGUGUAGCGGUGAAAUGCGCAGAUAUCAGGAGGAACACCGAUGGCGAAGGCAGGUCUCUGGGCCAUAACUGACGCUGAGAAGCGAAAGCAUGGGGAGCGAACAGG
rnacentral:rRNA from 1 species